CAUGUCUUUUUGAUUAUAAUUUAAGGUUUAAUCUGCUCAAUGAGGACUUAAAUUGCCGCGGUAUAUUGACCGUGCAAAGGUAGCAUAAUAAUUAGUUUUUUUAUUGAAAGCUGGAAUGAAUGAUUGGACGAGAAAAUUUCUGUCUCUAGUUAAUUUAUUUUUGAAUUUUACUUCUAAGUUAAAAGGCUUAGAUAUUUUUUAAAGACGAGAAGACCCCAUAGAGUUUUAUGUUUACUAAUAUAAAAAGUUUUUGGUUAUUUGAUUUUUUUAUAUAUUUAAAUAUUUAGUUGGGGUGACUUAAAGAUUAAAUAAACUCUUUAAAAUUUUUAAUCAUUGAUUGGUGAAUAUAAAAUCUAGAAUUUCUAAGUUUAAAAUAAAUUACCUUGGGGAUAACAGCGUAAUUUCUUUUUAGAGUUCUUAUUGAAAGAGAAGUUUGCGACCUCGAUGUUGGAUUAAAAUUAAUUUUUGGUGCAGAAGCUUUAAAAGUUAGGUCUGUUCGACCUUUAAAAUUUUACAUGAUCUGAGU
rnacentral:rRNA from 1 species